AUUGAACGCUGGCGGCAUGCCUAACACAUGCAAGUCGAACGGCAGCAUGAAAUGGGGUAACCCAUUUUGAUGGCGAGUGGCGGACGGGUGAGUAAUAUGUAGGAAUCUACCUAGAGGUGAGGGAUAACUUAGGGAAACUUAAGCUAAUACCACAUAAGCCCCACGGGGGAAAGCAGGGGAUCUUCGGACCUUGCGCCUUA
rnacentral:rRNA from 1 species